UUUGAAUCUGGCGGUCUACGGCCGUCCGAGUUGUAAUCUAGAGAGGUGUUUUCCGUGCCGGACCGUGUACAAGUCCCUUGGAACAGGGCGUCAUAGAGGGUGAGAAUCCCGUCCAUGACACGGACUCCCGGUGCUCUGUGAUACACCUUCAAAGAGUCGAGUUGUUUGGGAAUGCAGCUCAAAAUGGGUGGUAAAUUCCAUCUAAAGCUAAAUACAGGCGAGAGACCGAUAGCGAACAAGUACCGUGAGGGAAAGAUGAAAAGAACUUUGGAAAGAGAGUUAAACAGUACGUGAAAUUGUUGAAAGGGAAACGCUUGAAGUCAGUCGCGUCUGUCAGGACUCAGCCUUGCUUUUGCUUGGUGCACUUCCUGGUGGAUGGGCCAGCAUCGAUUUUGAUCGCCGGAGAAGGGUGGGAGGAAUGUGGCAGCUUGCUGUGUUAUAGCCUCCUAUCGUACACGGUGAUUGGGAUCGAGGAC
rnacentral:rRNA from 1 species